AGAGUUUGAUCCUGGCUCAGGAUGAACGCUGGCGGUAUGCCUAACACAUGCAAGUCGAACGAGCUUUUCGGAGCUAGUGGCGGACGGGUGAGUAACGCGUGAGAAUCUGCCUCGAGGAUGGGGAUAACAGUGGGAAACGACUGCUAAUACCCAAUAAGCCGGAAGGUAAAAGAUUUAUCGCCUGGAGAUGAGCUCGCGUCUGAUUAGCUAGUUGGUGGGGUAAGAGCCUACCAAGGCGACGAUCAGUAGCUGGUCUGAGAGGAUGAGCAGCCACACUGGGACUGAGACACGGCCCAGACUCCUACGGGAGGCAGCAGUGGGGAAUUUUCCGCAAUGGGCGCAAGCCUGACGGAGCAAUACCGCGUGAGGGAAGAAGGCUCUUGGGUUGUAAACCUCUUUUCUCAGGGAAGAAGUUCUGACGGUACCUGAGGAAUCAGCAUCGGCUAACUCCGUGCCAGCAGCCGCGGUAAUACGGAGGAUGCAAGCGUUAUCCGGAAUUAUUGGGCGUAAAGAGUCCGUAGGUGGUCAGAUAAGUCUGCUGUCAAAGACCGGGGCUUAACUCCGGAAAGGCAGUGGAAACUGUGUGACUAGAGACCGGGAGGGGUAGAGGGAAUUCCCAGUGUAGCGGUGAAAUGCGUAGAGAUUGGGAAGAACACCGGUGGCGAAGGCGCUCUACUGGACCGGAACUGACACUGAGGGACGAAAGCUAGGGGAGCGAAAGGGAUUAGAUACCCCUGUAGUCCUAGCUGUAAACGAUGGAUACUAGGCGUGGCUUGUAUCGACCCGAGCCGUGCCGGAGCUAACGCGAUAAGUAUCCCGCCUGGGGAGUACGCACGCAAGUGUGAAACUCAAAGGAAUUGACGGGGGCCCGCACAAGCGGUGGAGUAUGUGGUUUAAUUCGAUGCAACGCGAAGAACCUUACCAGGACUUGACAUCCCUCGAACUUCUGUGAAAGCGGAAGGUGCCUUCGGGAGCGAGGAGACAGGUGGUGCAUGGCUGUCGUCAGCUCGUGUCGUGAGAUGUUGGGUUAAGUCCCGCAACGAGCGCGACCCUCGUCUUCAGUUGCCAUCGGGUUUGGCCGGGCACUCUGAAGAAACUGCCGGUGACAAGCCGGAGGAAGGUGGGGAUGACGUCAAGUCCUCAUGGCCCUUACGGGCUGGGCUACACACGUGCUACAAUGGCGGUGACAGCGGGUUGCGAUCCUGCGAAGGUGAGCUAAUCCCGAAAAGCCGUCUCAGUUCGGAUUGCAGUCUGCAACUCGACUGCAUGAAGUCGGAAUCGCUAGUAAUCGCGGAUCAGCAUGCCGCGGUGAAUCCGUUCCCGGGCCUUGUACACACCGCCCGUCACACCAUGGGAGUUGGCUUUACCCGAAGGUGGUGCGCUAACCCGCAAGGGGGGCAGCCAACCACGGUAAGGUCAGCGACUGGGGUGAAGUCGUAACAAGGUAGCCGUAGGGGAACCUGCGGCUGGAUCACCUCCUUA
rnacentral:rRNA from 1 species